rfam:Myotis brandtii contig189756, whole genome shotgun sequence.
GCCCAAAUGGCUCAGUGGUAGAGCGUCAACCUAUAAAUGAGUAGGUCGUGAUUCAAGUCCCGAUCAGGGCA